AGUCAAAAGCCGGGCACUGCCCUGCUUACCCCAGGUUCAUAGCCCUUCCCCGUCUACACCCGCGGGAUGCGGCGAACCACCCGAGGAAACAGCGCGGCUGGAGGGAGACCGGCGCUGCCGCCUGGAGUCCGGGGCUGAAGGAGUCAGAACCCAAACCAAAAUAAUUAUAGGAUAAAGGUUGCCUUUAAGAGCUUGGCCAACAUACUGUCAGGCUGCAUCUGGAAUUAGAUGGACAUGCUUCCGGACCAAUUGCUGUAACCGAAAAGAAACCACCUGUUUGGACUAGGAGCCAUCAAGCCUUAGAAAAAGAGGUCACUUGGAAACAUUUUAAAUGAGUGGGAAGCCAUCACAACAGAAAUUCUUCAAAGAAUCAGUCGCUAAGGAAUGUAUUGUCACUUCAGUGCAUUCAGCUACCACAUAUAUUCUCAACUAGCUGUAGUAAAAUUCAAUCAUUCAACUCCUAUUAACCUAGUAAGUGACUGAAGGAGUGCACAAACUGCACACUGGAAAUGAAUGGGUUAAAGAGCUACUCUGGGCCCAGGUAGACAUGCCCCACUCUACCUGCACAGGCUAGAGGAACUCAAAAAGGGGAGCAGGGGAGCUCAGUGGUAGGAGACAGUGGAGGAGAGCUGACCUACACUCUGAGCUCCUGCUGUCUGAGGCUUGUCUAUAUUGACCUGACCAAGCCUACAAAAAAGGGACUUGUGAUUCUGUAAAUUUCAGAGAUUCAUUUUUUGUUUAGUUCUUUUUUACCCAUGGGAUAAAGAGGGGACUGGUAGGAAGUGAUCCAAGGACACAGCCAUAUAGCACCUAAGAGUGCAGGACUUAGUUGCCUACCAUUGCACCCUGGAUUGGAGCCUGGUGGAGAGGGUGAGCCCAGGCUUUUCUACCAACCUCUAAAGAGGUACAAAUAUGGAAGUCAAUCCUUUGAUGGGGAACUGGGUCAGGGGAAGAUCCUGAAAAUACAAGGGUGUUAACCGUGACAUCCUGACCCAAGGAAGAAGCCCCAAUUCCCUUGCUUAAUCCAGAAGACUUCCCAGUAUUGGACUCCAUAUAUAUAUACCCUGCAAGGGGAGGACUUGAAAACAUCACCUGGCCAGAGGGCUGAUUCGCUAAUGGGAUUUUCCUAGAACAGACUAAGCAAGGGUGUGAUUGAAUGUAAGAGUCCCAUUGACUUUCAUAACCUUUAUACCUUGCUCUAUCUAGGUUUGUAUAAGGUCACCUUUCACCAUGGUAUCUGUGGAUGUGUUGGGUAGAAAAAGUUCAAUUUAUUAAAUGUACAUAGCUGCCAUUUUGGAUUGAUAAAAGGACAGCCAGUCCUCCAUCUUGGCACCCCUUCUCCUUCAGCUCUUGGCACUUUUUUUUUUUUUUUCCCCUCUCCAAGUUUGGUGCUAAAGCAGAGGGAAAGGCAGGAAAGAUAGUAUCACAUGAUCGUGAAAUCCGCCUAGCAACAGGGAACGUAUAUAAGGGUGUGUUCAAACUCUGACGGGGGUUCUUUCUGUGUCUCUGGAUGCUGUGAAAGCAGGUCAUCCCAGUGAGGUAUAGAAUCCCUCCCACAGCACUGGCCUUUCUGGGAGCUAGAGCCCUGAGGGAAUAAGACUUAAGGUGGACCAGUAUCACCUAAUAAGGUUCCUUUGGACUUACCCUCACUCACCUAUUAAAUCACCACACAGUGUAGUGUCCGCAUUCAGCACACAGGACAUCGAGGUCAAGAGUAGAAGUCUGAGGACAUCAUGCCAAAGAUGUACUUACCUGUCACAGAGUUUCCUGAACUCUGAUUCCUGUUGUGCUCCUGAUCCUUCCAUGAGGUCCUGGUUCCCGUCUGUGUUCCUGUUCUCCUGUCCAGUGUCUGCAAGACAUGGUAGAGUCCGUCUCUAUCAUUUUUGUAAACCCCACUGUGUAAGGGUUUGGGCUCUGGCGUUCAUCCCCCCAUUAUACCAUUUGUGUUAACAACCGAGCAGUUAUUCUUUGUGUUAUCUUAGUUGUAGGGAGUCCUAGUUUGUUUUUGUGUAUCUCAAUAAACACCAUUAUAUUGUUUGCAA